rnacentral:misc_RNA from 1 species
GUGAAUCAUCGAAUUUUUGAACGCAAAUUGCACUUUCUGGUAUUCCGGAAAGUAUGCCUGUUUGAGGGUCAGUUAAAUAAAAAUCGGUGUUAUUGCUAUUAAUGGUGAUGCAUCGGAAUUGAGUCGUCUUUACCUUUGGUAUUAUGUGUCUUAAAAUUAUGUAAGAUUUCUGAACGUAUUUAAAUUCAUUAAUUACGCUAAUGAUAAGUCAUAUUAGUUGCGAUCAUCCACAUGAUUUCGCGCCUAU